AGCGAACGCUGGCGGCAGGCCUAACACAUGCAAGUCGAACGAACCUUUCGGGGUUUGUGGCGGACGGGUUAGUAACCCGUCGGAACGUUCCCUUAGGUUUGGACUAACUCAGGGAAACUUGUGCUAUCACCGAAUGUGCCCUUCGGGGGGAAGAUUAAUUGCCCUUAGUGCGGCACGGGUCUGAUUAGCUAGUUGUUUCAGGUAAUGGCACAUCAAGGCGGCGUUCAGUAGUUGGUCAGUGAGGAUCGUCCGCCACAUUGGGAGUGAGACACGGCACAAAAUCCUACGGAAGGCAGGAGUGGGGAAUGUUGCGAAACGGGGGAAAGGCUGACGCAGCCAUGCCGGGAGAAUGAUGAAAGUCGUAGGAUUGAAAUGUGCUAUCACCUGUGAAGAUAAUGACGGUACCCGGUGAAAAAGCCCCGGCUAACUACGUG
rnacentral:rRNA from 1 species